rnacentral:rRNA from 1 species
UACGAAGGGUGCAAGCGUUAAUCGGAAUUACUGGGCGUAAAGGGUGCGUAGGCGGUUCGUUAAGUCUGUCGUGAAAUCCCCGGGCUCAACCUGGGAAUGGCGAUGGAUACUGGCGAGCUAGAGUGUGUCAGAGGAUGGUGGAAUUCCCGGUGUAGCGGUGAAAUGCGUAGAGAUCGGGAGGAACAUCUGUGGCGAAGGCGGCCAUCUGGACCAGCACUGACACUGAGGCACGAAAGCGUGGGGAGCAAACAGG